rnacentral:sRNA from 1 species
CACCGCCUGGGGAGUACGACCGCAAGGUUAAAACUCAAAUGAAUUGACGGGGACCCGCACAAGUAGUGGAGCAUGUGGUUUAAUUCGAAGAUACGCGCAGAACCUUACCAACACUUGACAUGUUCGUCGCGACUCUAAGAGAUUAGAGUUUUCGGUUCGGCCGGACGAAACACAGGUGCUGCAUGGCUGUCGUCAGCUCGUGUCGUGAGAUGUUGGGUUAAGUCCCGCAACGAGCGCAACCCUCACUUUUAGUUGCCAUCAUUAAGUUGGGCACUCUGAAAGAACUGCCAGUGAUAAGCUGGAGGAAGGUGGGGAUGACGUCAAGUCCUCAUGGCCCUUACGUGUUGGGCUACACACGUGCUACAAUGGUAUCUACAACAGGAAGCAAGACUGCGAAGUUAAGCAAAUCCUUAAAAGAUACCUCAGUUCGGAUUGCACUCUGCAACUCGAGUGCAUGAAGCUGGAAUUACUAGUAAUCGUGGAUCAGCGUGCCACGGUGAAUGCGUUCCCGGGUCUUGUACACACCGCCCGUCACACCAUGGGAGUUGGUUCUACCUUAAGGCAAGGUUUCAAACCCUUGACCACGGUAUAGUCAGCGACUGGGGUGAAGCCGUAACAAGGUAGCCGUAGGGGAACCUGCGGCUGGAUUACCUCCUUUCUAAGGAUGAAUGAAAGUAAAAUUUCAUUCUAAAUAAUAUACAGGCUAAUGUUGACCGUCCUCAUUUCUCUUCUUGAAAUUAGUGUUUCUCUUGGAUGGGGGCCGGUAGCUCAGUUGGUUAGAGCACACCCUUGAUAAGGGUGGGGUCGAAAGUUCGAGUCUUUCUCGGCCCACCAAUUUAAGAUCAUGGGGGAUUAGCUCAGCUGGGAGAGCGCCUGAUUUGCAUUCAGGAGGUCAGCGGUUCGAUCCCGCUAUCCUCCACCAAACACUUAGUUAUGAAAAAUCGUAAAAAAUUAAUAAUUAAUAUCAAUAUCUAUAUCCGAACAUUAGUAAUGUUAUUAACUAAUGUUCAAAAAAUAAAAAUUUGAUUCAACACAGAAUUUUUUUCUG